rnacentral:lncRNA from 1 species
AAUGAUAAGUUUAAAUUUACAUCGAAUUUAAAGAAAUAUUAUAAUGUUAAAUGAUGUUUUGCCAUUGUUGAGUUCUAUUUUAAAGUAAAAUUUCUUUCAGUUUUUUGAAAGACAUGUGCUACUUAAUAUUAAAUCACUUUAAUUACUUUUUGUAUUUAAUUAUUCCUUUAACUUAAUACAAUCACAAAGUUAAUAAUAAAUCUUAACAAAAAAUAAUAUGUUAAUUAUUAUAUAUUUUAGAAAUUGCAAAUUUGGAAGUUAAUUGAAUAUAAUCAAACAGUAAUACAUGCUUAGCGCAAUCAAGACUAAACUUAGUUAAUUAAGACAAAAAUAUUCUUACAACAACUUUAAUAAUUUAUACUAAUCCUUCUUAUUUUAUAAUAUUAUAUACUAUAAAUUACAAGCCAUUUUUCGAGUUAUAUUCCUUAAUGUCUUUUGUUUUGAAAGUCUGAACAUGAUUCAACAUUAAUACAUCGAUUGAAAAAACAAACUUUUGUCUUACUAAUGUCACUUUCAAAAUUAAUAAUUAUUUAUUUUUAAAAUUCUUUUUUACACAUUUUCGAAAAACAAUCUAUAUGCUUUCAAGAUCAAAGGGUUUGAAGCAGAUUCUCAAGGUGCUAAUGUAAAAAAUCUUGUCUAUGGUUGACAUUAUUGGAUAAAGGAGUCGAUUAAUGGUCGACGACAUCCAACUUUAAGAUGGAUUUUCUCUCUAAAGACUUUGAUCUUCAUAAUACACAUAGAAUCAAAACAAAGAGUAACGCCCACUUUUUCAAGCAUUAUAUGAAGUUUGACGUCGUUGGCGAUGACAAAAUUUUAGUGCAAUCAAGUACAAUUCAUGACAAAUAUCUUUUUAUAUAUUAAUAAAGUGUAUGUAAUGAUAAAUUUAAAUUUACAUUGAAUUUAAAGAAAUAUUAUAAUGUUAAAUGAUGUUUUGCCAUUGUUGAAUUCUACUCUAAAGUAAAAUUUCUUUCAAUUUUUUGAAAGACAUGUGCUAUUUAAUAUUAAAUCACUUUAAUUAUUUUUAAUUUUUAAUUUUACCUUUAACUUAAUACAAUCAACAAAGUUAAUAGUGAAUGUUUGCAAAAAAUAAUAUGUUAAUUAUUGUAUAUUUUAGAAAUUGCAAAUUCGGAAGUUAAUUGAAUAUAAUCAAACACUAAUAUAUGCUUAGCGCAAUGAAAACUAAAACUUAGUUAAUUAAGACUAAAAUAUUCUUACAAGAACUUAAAAAAUUUAUACUAAUUUUUCUUAUUUUAUAAUAAUAUAUACUAUAAAUUACAAGCCAUUUUUUUAGAUAUAUUCAUUAAUGUCUUUUGUUUUGAAAUUUUGAAUAUAAUUUAACAUAAAUACAUCAAUUAGAAAGACAAACGUUUGUCUUACUAAUGUCAAUUUAAAAAUUAAUGAUUACUUAUUUUUUAGUUUUGUUUUUAAAUAUUUUCGAAAAGAUUUCUUUAUGCUUUCUAGAUGAAAUGGUUUGAAGCCGAUUCACAAGGUGCUAAUUAAAAAAAUCACGUCUAUGGUUGACAUUAUUUGAUAAUGGAGUAGAUUGGUUGCCGACGACAUCCGACUUUAAGACGGAUUUUCUCUCUAAAUACAUGGAUCUUCAUAAUGCCUAUAGAAUCAAAACAAAGUGCAUUGUCCACACUUUAAUGCAUUAUAUGAAGUACGAUGUCGUUGGUAAUGAUUUUUUUUUUUGGAAACAAGUACAAUUCUUGAUAAAUAUCUAUUUAUAUAUUAAUAAAGUCUAUGUAUAAUGAUAAAUUUAAAUUUACAUCGAAUUUAAAGAAAUAUUAUAAUGUUAAAUGAUGUUUUGCC